GAACCAUCUGACUAGUCACAAGUAUGUGACCCAGAUGUAGGAGUCUCAGUCAGAACAAUGAAACUGGAGUUCGCUGGUGUUGAGAUCACCCUUCAUGCCUGACAGCAACACGGAAAACCAAUUCUGAAACGGUUUGGAAUAAGUUAGUGUAGGAGGUAGAGUUUGUUUGGACUGUUUUCAUUUCUAGUUCACACACACAGUUACACAAAAAACAUCAUUUACAUUGAAGACCUUUUGCUUUGUAGAGGCAAGUUACCUUUAUUCACCGGACACACUUUGAAUGUUUACAUGAGGUGAUUGUAUGAGUAGAGUGGUACGUCCACUGACCAAGAAUCAUCCUUAGUUUGGUUGCGCUCAUCGGUUGUUGUUCCUUGACUUAAAUGUGUUCAUUUGUUUACACUAAGGUGCACCUUGUAUUUCAGUUGUGAUGAAAAAAGAAGUUAAGGUGUUCUGAAUAGAAUGUG